rnacentral:rRNA from 1 species
GGGGAAUCUUGCGCAAUGGUCGAAAGACUGACGCAGCGACGCCGCGUGUGGGAGGACGCCUUUCGGGGUGUAAACCCCUGUUGCCCGGGACGAACUUCUCCUUUCGAGGAGAUUGACGGUACCGGGUGAGGAAGCACCGGCUAACUCUGUGCCAGCAGCCGCGGUAAUACAGAGGGUGCGAGCGUUGUCCGGAAUCACUGGGCGUAAAGGGCGCGUAGGUGGCGCGACAAGUCGGUGGUGAAAGUUCGACGCUCAACGUCGAAUCGGCCACCGAUACUGUCGGGCUCGAGCACUGUAGAGGCUAAUGGAAUUCCGGGUGUAGCGGUGGAAUGCGUAGAGAUCCGGAAGAACACCGGUGGCGAAGGCGGUUAGCUGGGCAGUUGCUGACACUGAGGCGCGACAGCGUGGGGAGCAAA